rnacentral:rRNA from 1 species
CGCCUCUUGCAAAAUUAAUAAAUAAGAGGUCUCGCCUGCCCUGUGACUAUAUGUUUAACGGCCGCGGUAUUUUGACCGUGCAAAGGUAGCGCAAUCACUUGUCUUUUAAAUGAAGACCCGUAUGAAUGGCACAACGAGGGCUUAACUGUCUCUUCUUUCAAGUCAAUGAAAUUGAUCUCCCCGUGCAGAAGCGGGGAUAUGUACAUAAGACGAGAAGACCCUGUGGAGCUUCAGGCACCAAAGCAGAAUAUGUUAAGUACCCCAGACCAAUGAUUGAAACAACUUAUAACCUGCCCUAAUGCCUUCGGUUGGGGCGACCGCGGGGAAAUGAAAAACCCCCAUGUAGAAUGGAAGCACAGCUUCUACAACUAAGAGUCCCCACUCUAACUAACAGAACCUCUGACUAAUAAGAUCCGGCAAUGCCGAUCAACGGACCAAGUUACCCCAGGGAUAACAGCGCAAUCCCCUUUUAGAGCCCAUAUCGACAAGGGGGUUUACGACCUCGAUGUUGGAUCAGGACAUCCUAAUGGUGCAGCCGCUAUUAAGGGUUCGUUUGUUCAACGAUUAAAGUCCU